rnacentral:lncRNA from 1 species
CAGAGGAGAGAUUGGGUGCAAUUUUGCUGGGCAACAUAUCCCCCUCCCGAAGCCCUAAUUUUGGCUGAAUUACUGCCCUGAGGAGUUAGAAGUAGAGAGAAUGGGAUAAGUUGAGUAGAAAGAGAAGAAGCAUCGAUGGCUAGCCACAUCAAUUAGAGAGAGAUAGGGGUAGAACAAAGGACCAAUUAGCGGUAGUUCUUAACUUCUUAAGAAUCUUAUCCCGGGUAGCAAUGGUAA